ACUAGCGUGGCCGAGGCUCACAGUCCCACUGCUCCAGGACCUUGAUGAGCUGAGUUCAACGACCGGGUUGACCUCAGAAUGUUCUGAAGCACACAUAUGAAACCUAGAGAGGUUAAGUAACUUGCCAGAAAUCACACAGUGGUUCAGAGCAGUCCUGGAUCUUCAAACCCAGGCCCCAGCCAUACAGGUGAGUUUGCUUCUGCCCCUGGGGUAAAGAGCAUGGGCUCUGGAGCCAGGGAGCCCUGGGCUCGAUCCUGGCUCCUCUGACCCCUCACUGGGGCUGUGGGCGAGUGGCUGGCCUCUUUGGCAGUCCUUAUUCUAACCUGAGGCUGGACCCUCCCACCUGGCUGAGGGUGGUGGUGGGAGGAAAGGAGGGAGGGCUGGGCCCAGCCCUGUGCCUGGCACACAGUAAGGGGUUACAUCAUAGCAGGGCAUUACCACAUGACCCCAGGAAGAGAUGCCUCAGUCCUGUCAACCCGGUGCUUCUCGGUCACCACUCCCUGGUGGAGAGCACAGACACGGCUCUGGGCGGGCCAUGGUGGGCACACCCCGCUGUGGGCAGAUCAGGCAUGUGAAACUGUAGGGGACAGAACCCGCCACCAGCUGCUGGCUCCUCCACCCUCCACGUAGGGCCUGCAAGAUCCAUAGGAUCCCAAAACUGGGGCAAUCAAAGAACAAUAGCUACCACGUAUCAAGAUUUUACUAUUCUCAACCAUAUUAUUGCUCCCAUUUCACAGGGAUUUAUAAACUACCUGAGACAUAGGACGAGGAGCCCAGCGGGCAGCACACCAACCAACAGAUGUUCGGGGAGGGCCAGCUACUCACUGCGUGCCCGGCCCCAGCUCCGUGCACGGGCACAGGGCACAGGACACAGGACACAGGGCACAGGGCACAGGCCCUGUUCACGGCAGAGCCAGUAGCCCAGGAGGAAGCACACAGACAACCAGCAACUACAAAUCCAGGUGAGACGUGGUGGGGAAGUCAGGACAGUCCCAGUUUGGAAGCCACUUUCUCUGGGAUCCUUCCCUGACCUCCCUCCAUAAGAAUUCAGACUGAGAAGAGGGGAACAGGGAGCAGAACAUUCCAGUGCCCCAAAUAAUUGAAAACAGGCACUCAAACACAUACGUGUCCACACAGGUUUGGAGCAGCUGCUCACGUAGCCCAAGGUGGAAACAACCCAAAUGUCCGUCAAUAAACAACUUGUGGUAUCUACAUAUAAAGUAAUAUUACUCAGCCAUAAAAAGAAAUGAAGGAAAAAAAAAAAAAGGAAUGAAGUCCAUACAUGUGCUAUAACAUGGGUGAACCUCAAAAACAUGCUAAAAGAAAGAUGCCAGACACAAAAGGCCACGUAUGUUAGCCUGAUACCACAGAUACGAAACGUCCAGACCGGGUAAAUCCGCAGAGAGAAGCGGAUUGGCACUUGCCAGGGGCUGGGGAGGGGGGCAGUGACUGCUGAAUGGGACAGUUUCCUUUUGCAGUGACACGAGUGAGUGCUUUGCAAGUAGACAGAGGUGGUGACUACACAACAUUGUCAAUGUACUAAAUGCCACUGAAUUGUUCACCUUAAAAUGCACUUCCUCCGUGCCAGGCACUGUGCCAGGCCCCGGAAACACAAAGCUGACGCAGAGCGGGCCCGUCCCGCCUGGGAGCUCCCGGCCAUCGGUGUCAAAGGACUGCAGCAGGUCGGCGUGGUAAGGUCCCCCAGCCCUGCCACAGAGCUGCCUGCCCAAUCACGACGCCUGUGGGUGCACAAAGAGGAACAUCCUGUCUUCUGGGAUGACUCAGUCUUCGCAGAAAUCUCACUUUAGGAGCCCGUCAGAGGCAGCUGCGGUUACCGGCUGGAGUUCUGCACCUGCCGCUAAGGCACCUAAACCUGUGAGUCCUUCCUGAGCCAGCCUCUGUCUUCCACGACAAUUCCAUGCCAGCCAUGGCCCUCGGUGCCAUGGAGCCUGGGGCUGGCUGGUCAGCUAGCUGUCAGUCAGCAAACACACCUUAGUGCCAACCACAUGCCAACCUCAGGCUGGGACGAUGCUGUGACAGAAAAGCAGACCAGGUGACCAGGUUCAGGCCCUGGUGCUGCUGCUAUUUAUGGUGUGUGGCUGGGCUUAGAUUUUGCUCACUGUAAAACAGGGAAAACGCCCCCUGCUCUUGCUACUGCAAAGGGGUAUCGCCCUGCUAGCUGGGCUGGGAGGCAGGGGGCAGGGCUAAAAGCACUUCGAAGUUCCCAGUUGACUCAGCUCCUGAGGCCAGCAGCCUCAGAACCGUCACCCUCCCUCCUGCUCCCUGCGGUCACCUUUCAAAGUACCAAAGAUACAUACUGAGCCCCUAGUGGGUGCAAAUUAACUUUAAAGAAAACCAAACAACCACCUAUGACGCCCUACUAUAUGCCAGGCACAACGUAAGACACAAGGAAUACCGAAAAGAGUAAAAGCGUUCCCAAACUUCAAAUGGCAGGGGACGGGACAACACAGAGGGGAUAUCGAAGAAGGAAGCUUUAAGAUGGGCUUGAGGAAACAAGAGGGCUUGGGGGUGGGAAAGGCAGGGCUUUCCAGGCAGAGGGAACGGCAUGGGCAAAGGCACGGAGGCCUGAAAGUAGGAACUGAGCUUGCAGGAGAGCCCAGGGCGGGGUCCCUGCACCCAGGCAAAGGCAGGGUGCCCAGGGCAGCCUUGAUUAGGGCAGCAGGGCUGUCCUGCAAGGGCAUGGGUCUGGUGAAGGCUCCAGCCGUGUGAGCUGGCCCCAGGAGAGCCGGCCCCUUUAGGAUUAGGUCCCCGCAAGGAGUGCCAUUGGGCUCAGGGUUCCCAUCAGCCCUGGAGAAACUGGCCCCACAAGGAAGUACCAGUAACUGUCGCUCUUCCUUCUGUACAUCUCCCCCUGCCCCGUGCCACCCCUGCAGCCCCGGCUCUCCUGGGUCUAACAGACACCCCCCCCAACCCCAAGGUGUCUUUCUUUAGUGUCUCUGUCCUGGGUGGGACAGACUCCUCUUCCCCACCACCCCCACAGAGCUCCUUUGCCCACGGCCCCGCCAUUCCAAAACUGAGGACCCUUCCUUUAGGCUCAAUCACUCCCAGCUCCAUCGCUGCCCACAGUCUCCCAGGUCCUCCUCUGCCGGCACCGCCAGACAGCCCCUUCACCCUCUGAAGCCCCUUCCCAUCCAGCCAGGGCUGUCUAGGGCACGCCCCUGCUCCCACCCUACUCUGACACCUCCCAGGUCUGCGCCGGCCAGGAAAGGACUCCCACAGCGCCUGAUGUCCCAGGCUUGGGACCAUCUCCGCCAAGGCCCUUGAGGUACGGAAGGGGAGACCAAAGCCCAGAGAAGGUCAGAGGCUUGGCCAAGGUCACAAAGCACGCCAAGCCUGGGAGGAGGCCUCCAGCUGCCUCAGACCUCUGGGAACUCCUUCCGUGCCAGGCCCUUCUCAACCAGGGCAUGCCCCUGGCCGAGGCCCGCUCCCUCACCAGGCCUCAGGGGCCAUCUGCACAAUGGGCGUGCAGGCCCAGGCUGCUCCUGCCCUUCCAGCUCUGACUCCGUGUCCUGUCUGCCAGCGUGCAACCCAACAUCUCGGGGAGGCUGCCAGUGCUCCUGCCAGCUCACCCACUGUCCUCACCCCAACGGGGGCCUACAGCCAGCGUGGGAUUGCCCAGGCUGCGUGGAGGUGGUGACCUGGCUGAUGGGGUGAAUUCCCCAGGUCUCACCAGCUGCUGUCAGGGGACAGAUUUAUCCCGACGGCCAAGCUGCCUUUUCCCAAGCCCUGUUCCUCCCAUUCCUUCAUCCACAGGUACUCGCUGAGGUCCUGCCACCUGUCAGGUGGCAAUAGGGUGGCAGUCCCUCUCCCAGGCUGCUUUUGGUAGGAGCAAUGUCCAGGGCUGAUCCCAGACCAAAUAGAACCCAUCUCUGGGGAUCAGGGAUUUUAAGUUUCCCAGGUGAGGCGCUGGCAGAGAGUAACGGGUCACGGAGGAGGGUUAUGGGAUGGCCAGGGAGGUCUCUGUGGAGGAGGUGACAUUCAAACAAGAGCCUGGCAGGAAGAGGGGGCCAGAGCAAGCCACAGAGGCUGGGGCAGGGUGUUCUGGAAGGGCCAGUGCAGAGGCCCAAGGUGGGCGCCAGCUGGGCUUUCCCUGAGAGCAGCCAGGCCUGAAUGCCCGAAGCAGAGCCACGUGGGGGUGAAGGAGGGGGCCCCCUCUGCCUGCACACAGGGCUCCCAGCUCUGCCUCACCUGUGACUCAGAGGUUCUGAGUCGGGAAACAAAAAGGAAAAGGAAACUUCAGGCCUACGCAGUGUCCAAAAAGCCCUCCAGGUGAUUCUGCUAAACUGCAGGUGUAGGAGAGAACAGUGGCUGUCGCCAUCCGUGCACCAACUCAGACCUGAGUUCAAACCCCACCCCACUGCCUGCCUGCUCUGACCUUGGAGGCUUCCCCUCUCUAAGCCUCAGGCGACAGAAGAGGAGCCACCUCCAGGGCUGCUGUUGAGAUGCAAGGAGGUAGCGCCUGCCGGUGCAGCCCAGGGGCCUGGAACGUGGCUGCCAUUUACUGUGCUAUUUUAUUCCUGUUACUCAGGUACAGUGUCUGUUCUCCUCCAAAGGCUGGAUCUUAAUACCUCCGUGUGCCUGGCACGCUGUUUGUGGCUGAUGAACGUGUCUGCUGAAUGGAUGAAUGGAUGGAUGGACUGUCCCAAGGUCAGCUUGCAAGUACUGUUCCAGGUGUCCUCACAUCCCAGUGAUCACCCCACGCCCCUACCCCCUUCCCCACCUUUACCCACAACCGGAUGUCUGUCGGGCUCCACCCGCAGCCCCCAGGCCAACGUGGAGCAGAGCCAGAUCCCACUGAGGCCCCUCCCCGCUGGCUCUGGCGACCAUGUGGGCCAUUGUGCGAGGGGCGGGCCUCCCUGACACCCUGUCACUCACUCACCCUCCCUCCCUGGUCAUUAGCCCAGGCAGCACUGCCAUCAACGCCAGGUGGCUGCCACUGCUGGGCACGCCCCGUGGCCCCUGGAUAACCCCAAGCCCAUCUCAGGGGCAGCCACUUAACCCCAAGGAGACCGGCCUCCAGUGCACCCUGUGCAACCUCCGUGCCUCCCCCAAGCCUGGCAGCCUCCUCCCUGCCUCUGCUCGAGGGCACCGCUCUUGGAACACCACCCCCACCCACAGGCCAAAUUCCUCACACAUGCCCCAAACUGAGCUCGUAAGGUUGCCGCCCUCCACACCCACCCAACCGUAGUCGGGGCCACCUUUCACCCAGGCACGCUGCCAGAACUGUCAUCCCGGACUCUUCCCGCUCCUCACCCCCCAGAACCCAUCCACCGCCAACUUCCGGUGACUUUAUUUUCUAGACCUCACCAGAAUCUGUCCCACCCUGCAUCUCCACAUGGCCUCCUGCGUCCGCCUUGCUUGGAAAGCUCUGGGUCCCCUAAUCCAUGCCCCACACCGCACCAAUGGCAUCUUCCAAACACAGGUUUCCAAACACGCCCCUCCACGCUUAAAGCACUCGGAUAGCUGCCGUCCCUCUGAGGAAGACGAUGCUACUCCAGCCUCCUCUCCCGCCACCCCGUGCCCUCACCCAGCGUGCUCCUCCCGCGCGGGCCACCUUGCUGUCCCUGGGACAGAUGUGCCCUGCCCCUGCUCCCUGUUACCCUCCAGGCAACUGGCAGGUCUCGGCACCGGCCUGCCCUCCUCGGGGCUCGCCAUUUGGAAUUACGCUCGGUGUGUGAUCAUUUGACUAAUGUCUGUCUCUCAACUCGGUUUGGGGCCCUGUGAGGCACUCCCCGUCACGUCCCGGUGCCCAACACACAGGCCCUGUACCCCAUAGAAACUCAGGGCCUAUGUGCCGGAUGAUCCACUAAACCUGAACCUGACCCACCCUCAUAACAACCCAGUGAGGCUGGCGAGCUGUCCCCAUUUUACAGCUGGGUAAACAGAGGCCCCUAGAGCCCAAGCAACUUGCCCAAGGUCAUGAAGCUGAUGAGCUCCAGUGGAGUUUCAAUCUCGAAAAGACCAGCUCCUGCUGAGCAAGCUUGGAGCUCACAUGGCGGCAGCCCGCAGAGAUAAUGAGUACCUGCCCACAAGCAAAUCCAGAGCGGAGCUUAUUACUAGCUAAUUGCAAUGCACUAAGCCAGUGGUCCAACUUUAUAGCGAGGCCCUGGUGCUACACAGACAGAGCCUUUGGUUUUCCAAAGUGCUUUCUCAUCCUUCAUCGCACUGGAUGCUUAAGAAUGGCAUCGGGAAAUGGGCAUGCCAGGAGUGUUACUGCAUUGCAGAGAUGGGAAAACUGAGGCCCAGAGAGGGAAAAGGUUAGAUCCCAGUCACCCGAUAAAGAAACAAGAACAAAGCAAAACAAACAAAUUGGCCCUUAUGGCUAGGGCUUGCGCACUCUCCCCAGCUACAGGCCCACUACAGGCCCACGUGUGGCCACACCUGCACAAGGCCACCAGCCCUCCAUGGCAGCCCAGCAAGCCUCAGCCACUCGCUCCCUCUAGCCUCUGGGUCACGAUGUUCUAGCGCCACAGUGACAAUGUCUCACCCACUUGCUCAUGGCCCAUCCACUCAACCAUCCCUUCCCUCUCUCCCUCCCUCCACGAUCAUUUCUGAGCCCCACCUAAGUGUCAACAUAUUAACCAGACUUGAAGGUGGCUUUUUAAUCUUUUUUUUCCUUUAUACAGGUGCAGCCCAGGACUGGGAUGGGCCACACUUGCUGCUAUGACAAGCCCCAGACAGCCAACCCCUCAUACCACAUCCUGAGGCCCAGGGGUACAGUGGGGCUACCAGGCUUCUCAGCCACCCCCGUGGAAACCAAGAGCUGGCAACUUCAGGAGCCCUGGGGGCUAAAGGCUGUGUUAUUCUACCUUCCACCUCUCCUUGGGCUCCCUGCCUCUCCCUUCCCUGGAAAAGACAGGAAAACCCACCCUAAGAUUCCCCCUCUCCUUCCUGCGCAGGCUGCUGAGUCUAGCCCUGGAGUUAAAAUCCACAGGGAGUCCGAGGCAGAGAGGAGGCAGGUCAGGAUUUCAGGAGUGGACCACGGGGAAUGGAUGGAAGCCUGUCUGGGAAGUGGAGACCCAAGUUCCAGGCUGAGUGACCUGUUCCUCCGAGCUUUGGAACCUGGGGGCUUAAUAAGAUUAUCUCUGAGGUUCUCAGAGAUUAUCUUCUAACACUAAACCUCCUGGAUCCUUUAUUCCCUUUGCCCACACAGGCAGAAAUGCCAAGCUGAUGAGAGGCUGCAGGGUGCAGGGGUUAAAGGCACAGGGGCCUUGUGGGCAAGCAGAGAACUUCAGGGAGAACCCUUGGAAGCUGGGUGGCCUAGGGCAAGUCACUUAACCUCUCUGAACCCCAGAUUCUGCAUCUGUAAAAUGGGGGGAGUAACUGCAGGAAUAAAUGGCUUUGCCUUAUCAGUGGAA